rnacentral:tRNA from 1 species
GAGGCUUUAAGUUAAACUCUUAAACUUGUAACCUUCAAAGUUAUAUAUACUCUAAUAUAGUAAGUCUUA